rnacentral:rRNA from 1 species
AGAGUUUGAUCAUGGCUCAGAACGAACGCUGGCGGCAGGCCUAACACAUGCAAGUCGAGCGAGAACUUCGGUUCUAGCGGCGGACGGGUGAGUAACGCGUGGGAACGUGCCCUUGUCUGCGGAAUAGCCUCGGGAAACGAGAGUAAUACCGCAUACGCCCUUCGGGGGAAAGAUUUAUCGGACAAGGAUCGGCCCGCGUUGGAUUAGGUAGUUGGUGGGGUAAUGGCCUACAAGCCGACGAUCCAUAGCUGGUCUGAGAGGAUGAUCAGCCACACUGGGACUGAGACACGGCCCAGACUCCUACGGGACGCAGCAG